CCAGGGGAGAGGCUGAAAGGGCCAUCACGUGACCAAUGCAAGGGGGUGAUGAAGAACCAGUCAUGCUGUGGCAUGGGGCCUGAGGAGGGGGCGUGGGUGCCACCCGCUCCCCUUGUCAGGCAAUUGUCAAGCCAGGGAAGGAGCCACUGGGCUUUAAUGUGGGUCCCUCCGUUGUCCUGGUUGCAGGACCAGAGUGGACACCAGAUCCCUUGACUGCAGUCCCCUCAGCACAGGGAGACAGAGUCUGCCCACAGGUGCACGGGGCACGUGGACCACCGGUGAGGGAGACAGCUGAGGUGGUAGGUGGCUGCAUAUGGGGAACGUGCUCUCUCCAAGGCCCUGCAGAACUCAGGUGAACUAGACGGAACACCGUUCAGGUCAAGUGGGAACGUGAGAACGAUCAGAUAAGCCAGGCAGGUGACGAGCAGCCUUGGAUGGCGGGUUUGUAAACAGAGCUCUCCUCAGCGCUUCGGGGCACGAGUGAACAAGCCGCCCAGUUUCUGCCUUUUCCGUGCGGUGCCGCACUCCUGCUCCGGCCCCAGGCUAGCCGCCGACUGAGAGGGUGUGCUACGUGUGGAUACGUGGUGGUGUCUUUCUAGCUCACAUCCUUUCGUUUAGAACAGUCACCUCUCUUGGUUACCCUGCUCUUGAUCUGCUCUCUGCUCUCCUUCCCCCCUGCCCCCACCACUGGAGAUGGAGCCAGGAUGGCCACCUGACCUUACCUGUGUCAAUCAUAUUGUCUCUGGACCAGAAGCAUUGGCCACACCUGGCAAGUGCACCAAGAAGCAGAGAACUGGGGAAUGAAGGGCAUCAGGGAGUCCUUCCUUGGGUAUAAGAGACACCGUGUCCUUAUAUAGAAGCCUGUCUGGUUUGGGGCGGCCCGAGAAGGUCUCUGGUGCAGCCCCCAGGAGCCUGCUGCUGCACUACCCACGGUUACCAUCACGGCACCGUUGAAAUAACCACAGAAUCCAAACUCAGUGUGCGCCAAGGGACGUGGGGGCCAGUGGAUGAGUUGGGGCCGUGGGUCAAGGGUCUGGAGCCUCGCGUUGGUGGCUGACACCGUGAAGGUUUAGAGAGGGCAACUCACCUCCCAGCUGGGGAUGCCAGUUCGCAAAUGUCAAUCCGCCAGUCAAGCUGGGUAUCCGUGAGCUUCUCAACAUCCCCGCCAGCAACCGUUGGCACCGUUGGCACCCGCUCAGCUGAAAGGGGCCCAGAUCGGGAUUGUCUUAAGGAGACAGAACUGAGACAAGCCACAUUGAAACCCGUCAGGACGCCUCUCGGGGAGCCUCCUUCCCACGUUGCUAGUUCUUGAAAGUGUCAAAACCACGAUUUGGGCAGUUCUGGAUCUAGCUGAAAAACGAUGUUUUCCUGGCUUCUUUACCCAUGAGGAGUUCCCCCGUUUCUACACAAGUGAAUUAAUCGAGAAGAACUGAGGCUCGAGCAGUGAGAACUUUCUGGAAGCACGUAAAUGGCCAAGCAAAGCUGAGGCCGCCAGGACUCUCCCUCGUGGCGGUCUCUCUGUCCCUGGUUCUCACUCUCCCAUGGGUGACGCUGCAUCUGAGCUCAACCCAGGCGUCUGGCUUUUCCCCAGGAGGCAGUUGUGGGGCCGGCUGUGUGGUGGGGGCAGGAUGUGGGGGCUGAUGUGGGGAGGAGCUUAGGGAUGGGCAGCUUCUCCCACUCCCGUGAAACUGGGACCUUUACUGGCUCAACCUUGUCAAGGCGGAAAUCCCCAACCUUGUGCUCAGCAGAGGCUGCUGGGGUUGGAGCUGUUCCCCACCCCUCCACAUUCUCUUAGGACCCAGGAGAGGCACGUGGCAUGGCAACAGGCCCCCAUGUCUCAGCCAUGGGACUGAGCGCCUCCACAUGGGGAUGUCUGGAAUUGCAGGCUUUGAAAGCCUGAAUCGGGCCCAUGAAGGACAGUUCUCCCAGGCCCAGUGCCUGUGGUGAUGGCCACAUCCCUCAUUCUGCUGUUCCCUCACUGCCCUCCCUCCAAGACAAGGUGCAGGCUGCUGACUCCCUGCCGUGUCCCUGCUGUGUCCCUGCUGUGUCUCUGGGUUUGCAGGAGGCACCACUGAUCGUCAAUGGCGAUAAUGAAGGUUGAGGGCCAGACGCCUGGGUCGACCCCAAGGUUCAGCAGGAGCCUCUCCCCUGCCUACAAGUCACUCUGCCUUUGGGUCUCACCCUGGGCUGGAGGCUGGCCCCCAGGACAACCUGCUCCGUGGGCCUCAUGGAGGUCCUGCUCGGGGCCACAAUGUCCAGGCGUCAGGGCCACCUCUUCCCUCCAGGACCAGAGGUGGCAAGGACCUGGAGAGCGUGCCUGGCUGCUCGCUGUGGUCAUCAGGGUCAUGAGUGACACCCAAGGGCAGGAGUCGCCCAGACAGAUACCUCUCCCUGCUAGAAACUGCAAAGGACGUUUCAGAUACGGCCUUAAAAUAAA